CCUACGGGUGGCAGCAGUGAGGAAUAUUGGUCAAUGGACGAGAGUCUGAACCAGCCAAGUAGCGUGAAGGAUGACUGCCCUAUGGGUUGUAAACUUCUUUUAUAUGGGAAUAAAAUGUUCCACGUGUGGGAUUUUGUAUGUACCAUAUGAAUAAGGAUCGGCUAACUCCGUGCCAGCAGCCGCGGUAAUACGGAGGAUCCGAGCGUUAUCCGGAUUUAUUGGGUUUAAAGGGAGCGUAGGUGGAUUGUUAAGUCAGUUGUGAAAGUUUGCGGCUCAACCGUAAAAUUGCAGUUGAAACUGGCAGUCUUGAGUACAGGAGAGGUGGGCGGAAUUCGUGGUGUAGCGGUGAAAUGCUUAGAUAUCACGAAGAACUCCGAUUGCGAAGGCAGUUCACUGGACUGCAACUGACACUGAGGCUCGAAAAUGUGGGUAUCAAACAGGAUUAGAUACCCCUGUAGUC
rnacentral:rRNA from 1 species